rnacentral:lncRNA from 1 species
AAAUCAAAUCAAAGAGAACACCAAAACUUGGUGAUCAAGGUUCUUGAAUGCAAGUCACAAGAAGAUUUUAUUGCUGGACAUCAUUGUCCAUUCUCUGGCAUGAUGCUAGAGUGCAACUCUAGUUACAAAUGACGUAAUUACAAUGACGGGAGAAAAAGUGCCGGCGCAGUAGGCUUUCUUGACAUUGUCCCAGUGACGCACGCAAAUGAAAUAGCAUUUGAAAUUCUCGCACAGCAUGGGCUCGCAAGGGGUACUCCUCUCCACGCAAUGCUCUGUAGACAACAUACAUUCGUCGGUAAAAGAACUCCAAACUAGAAGGGUCCAAAGGAAUUUGUGCAGUUGAGCUGCCAAUAUUCAUGAAGACUUUUCCUACUCCGGCUGCAAGGAAAAAGUAACAGGGAGAUGGACGCGGCUAAUCUGCACCCGAGCUCAUAUGCUCCCGCAUGAACAGUAAAAUCGAAAAAAAUUAAAAAAAAUUCAAAAAAUUCCAAAUUUUUUUUGAGUGAAACAUUGACAAAAGUUCUAAGUGCCUGCAAAAAUUCGUCGUGAAAUCACAUUCCUAGAAGGCGUGGCAAAAAAAACAAAAAAAGUACUCUGAAAAAGCUACUUUCAAACGCAUUUUGAAGCACUGAAUUUGUUUUUUUUGCCACGCCUUCUAGGAAUGUGAUUCCGUGACGAAUUUUUGCAGGCACUUAGAACUUUUGUCAAUGUUUGUCUCAAAAAAAAUUGGAAUUUUUUGAAUUUUUUUUUGUUUUUUCCGAUUCUACUGUUCAUGCGGGAGCAUAUGAGCUCGGGUGCAGAAUGGACUUUUCGCAGGGAGAUUGAGUUUGUACCAGUGCAAGUGGAAUUUCCUAGGAGCCCAAGCACCAUCAGGCAAAGCAGAAUAGUUUUCUCCCCCAUAAUAUAAAGCACAAACUUCUUCUAUGUCUCGUUUCUACUAUUUGGGCUUCAAGAAGCAUAGAUGUAGUGCUAUAUUUAUGGACUUA